rnacentral:tRNA from 1 species
AUAUAAGUGUCAGAAUUUUAUGAGUUGGUUUUAAGCACCAAAUAUAAGGCUUUUGCCUUCUUAUAUG